rnacentral:rRNA from 1 species
UACGUAGGCAGCGAGCGUUGUUCGGAGUUACUGGGCGUAAAGGGUGUGUAGGCGGUUCUCUAAGUUUGGUGUGAAAUCUCCCGGCUCAACCGGGAGGGUGCGCCGAAAACUGGGGGACUCGAGUGCGGGAUGGGAGAGUAGAAUUCCUGGUGUAGCAGUGAAAUGCGUAGAGAUGUGGAGGAACACCAGUGGCGAAGGCGGCGACCUGGACGGACAUUGACGCUGAGACGCGAAAGCGUGGGGAGCAAACAGG